rnacentral:lncRNA from 1 species
UUGAAAGGCAGGAAGUAACAAUUCUGGGUCACUAUCUUUUCCAAGCUCUUCUUUGAGUUUUAGUAACAGAUUGGUUGCUUUAUUCUUUGAGAUCUGAAAAUGAAUGAAGAAAUUGGUGGCAGUGAAGUGCACGAGAUUAUGUGCCAUGCCAUUUGUUCUCAUAGAAUAAUUGAGGAAAUUAGAAAAAAAGGCAAAAUUCAAUGUUUUCUUAAAAAAAUGACUACAAAACUCUUUGCAAGAGUUCACAGCAAACUUCAAAUAAAUAGAGAAGAUGUCAACUACAAAAUUGCUAAGGGAGGAACUUAGGACACUGACUCUGAGGGCUUAGGUGUUAGCAGAUUAGGGGCACAUGAGUCUGGAUUUUGGGGCUUGUCUUCCAUGAUUGGGAGAAAAAGGAAAGUCUGAGUGAGAAACACAGUGAGAGCCAGAGUAUCCAGGAUCGUCUGCAACAUUAUACAUUACAGGAGGACUCGACUACAAGAAAACUCAGUGUUGCUGAGAGCACCCAAGAGGAAGCAGAGGAGGACUCAAGUACAAGAAAACUCAGUGUUGCUGAGAGCACCCAAGAGGAAAAAGAGGAGGACUCAAGUACAAGAAAACUCACUGUUGCUGAGAGCACCCAAGAGGAAACAGAGGAGGACUCAUCUUCAAGAAAACUCAGUGCUGCUGAGAGUACCCAAGAGGAAAAAGAGGAGGACUCAUCUUCAAGAAAACUCAGUGCUGCUGAGAGUACCCAAGAGGAAAAAGAGGAGGACUCAUCUUCAAGAAAACUCAGUGCUGCUGAGAGUACCCAAGAGGAAAAAGAGGAGGACUCAUCUUCAAGAAAACUCAGUGCUGCUGAGAGUACCCAAGAGGAAAAAGAGGAGGACUCAUCUUCAAGAAAACUCAGUGCUGCUGAGAGUACCCAAGAGGAAAAAGAGGAGGACUCAUCUUCAAGAAAACUCAGUGCUGCUGAGAGUACCCAAGAGGAAAAAGAGGAGGACUCAUCUUCAAGAAAACUCAGUGCUGCUGAGAGUACCCAAGAGGAAAAAGAGGAGGACUCACCUACAAGAAAACUCAGUGCUGCUGAGAGCACCCAAGAGGAAAAAGAGGUGAGCAGGACUAAAAGCAACAAAAUGGUGGGGAGGGAGAACACAUCUGCACAGUUAUUCUACAUUGCGGCUACCCAUUCUUUGUCACAGAAUUAUAACUUUACAGUAGGAAUAAAAGCCCCAAAGUAAUUUGACCAAGAUGAUUCUUGGCCUUGCUGGUUAGCAUUCAACCCUACUUACCCUCCCAACAAGGAAAGCUUGAACUUUCUUGGCACAUUCUCUGAAAAAGAGUGUAUUUCUUCUCCAAUCAGAGAAAGGGGUUUUUCAAGGUUCAGUCACAAAAAUAACCAGUCAAAAGCUACAUUCAGCCUGACCCUACCUAAUGCAACCUCUGAUUUCAGAUUGACUACCGAGGUGGUUGCUUGGUUAUUUUAAAGGUGAAAUUCAGGUAGAAAGG